ACGUUUCAUCCUGCCUGCCUCCAUCGCCCCCCUCCCUCCCACCUCUCUCCCCCUCACCGCCGUCGGGUCCCUCUCCUCCCUCAAGCAGCGGCGGCGGCGCGAGACAAAUCGGGCUCGGCCUUGGUCGGUAGCGGGGUUCCUCUCCGCUGUCAAGCAGUGGCAGCGGCGCGAGACGCCGCGGGCUCGGCCUUCGUCGGCGGCGGGGUUCCUCUCCUCCAUCGAGAGGCAGCAGCGGCGCGCGACACGACGCAACGCGAUCUGCCUGCAUCGGCGGCGGCGGGGUCCCUCUCCUCCGUCGAGUGGAGGCGGCCGUGUGGGACACAGCGGGCUUGGCCGUGCCAAGCACGGGUUCACUUUAUGUGGGAAUUGUAUGCUUUGAAAACAGAUUCAUGGAUCGCCGUGGGCAACUUCUCUAUGUGCAUGAAGACGCCUCAUGUUCUAUCGUCAGACAGUCGCCAUGUCAACUAUGUCCUUGUUAUUCGUGUAUAUCCAGAGGUCAGCGGAGUUUACUCUCUUGAGGCUUUCGUGGCCGAAUGGACAGGACUGGGAUCUUGAUCUCUUCCAGGGAGGUGAGGCCACAAUCGUAGAACAAUGGAAUUGUAUUUACAGUAACUUAAUGCAUCAUGUAGAAAGUUGAUUGUCAGACUCUGGCACUAAAAGACAAUUGUGGCAUUACUUUGAAGUUGAUCCAUAUUUCGUUUUAAUGAAUACUCAAGCUACUACCAUCUGGUCUGGAUGCGGUGAAGGAGGUGUAGUCUCAUACUCUACUCAAGCUGGUUGAAGUCCUCAGUUGACUCACGAGGACGAGGUCGAGCACAUCGUGGCCGCUGGAGUAGGAGAAGCAGCAGGAGUCGGGGCUGAGGCUGCCGGCGAGCGGGAGGAAGCGGGUGAGCGUGUGCGGCGGGAAGGCAGCGAGCAGCGAGAACGCGGCGGCCGGGUCGACCUGGCGGUACAGGGUCCAUGAAGAGCCAGCCGACGUCGUCGAAGAAGGUGAUGAUAGGGAGAUCUGGACACAGCGUCCCGGGUGCCGGCGCCACUCGGAUCCGCUCCAGCACGUGCACCUCCACUUCCGCCAUGGAUUCGUUGGCUAUGCUUGCUUGGGUGGGUCGACCUGAUCUUCUAUCUCUGUCCACCUACUACAAUCUGACUAUCACUGUGCUAUACUUGCUGGCCUAUGUCUAUGGACCACACGCGGGGUAGGUUUGGCACUAAUCUGCUGGAGUGAUUUAGCUCUCAUGCUGCAACGAACACGUUUCGUCCAGCCACCGCUCAUAUUUGAAGCAUUCGCAAGACCAUCAAGACCGUCAAAACGAAGGUUCGUGUAUCCAUGAAUUCGUGUCAAUUUUAUGCAAUUUUGUACAUGAAUGGGUAUGUUUAAGAAUGUCUUAAAUCAAAGUCUGAAACAUACGAAAAGUUGGCAAAUGCUAUGUUUUUAGGCUUAGAUUUCUGCUAGGGUAUUAUGUAUUUCAGGUGUAUUUGUACUAGUCGAGACAUGCUGCAAAAUUACCACCAUCAUACAGAAAAUCUAAAAAAUUAUAUGUAUUGAUGCUUCCUUGAAUCUACUGCUAAUAGGAUUCCAAUGUGUUUUUACUCGAAAGCUGUAGCAGCCUAUCCUUGAUUUAAGUCUAGAAAGAAGUAUUAACCCAUUUUUAUCCAAUUUAUGUGGGUUGGCUGCCCAUAGAAGGUACUGCUAAUGCAUCACCACUAUAUUAUGAGAUCACCUUUCAAUUGAGACUUACUAUCUCUAAUAAAAAAUGGUUGGUCAGUGCUAAAAGAAGCACCAGCCUUGCUGUACAAAUUCUAACCUACAGUUAGAAGGUACUUUCCUUUGGUACAUGUUUCUCGCUGGUGUAUAUCCUUUUGUUCCGUCAAACUAGCAAUAGUACAGCUAUGUCAACGAAAUUGCUGCUGCAAUAUUGUGUUUGAGAUUGCAAUACUAUAUUUACAAUAUUUAAGUGCGGAUGUGAGAGUGGUUGUUAUUUUCAUCACGGAAAUCUUGACUAAAUUUGAUCAUCCAUAAUUAAAGAAGCAUAUGAGAUCAAUAUAAUAAAUUGUGUUUCCAUUAGAGAUGUCUUAGUGGAGAUGUAUUCUGAUUUUACUUCACAACUCUCAAUUCUGUUCAGGCAUAUUUUGUUAACUUCGCAUUGGUUUCAUAAUUUUCAGGAAACCAAAGCAAACUCUUUUACCACUCAAGUUGAAGGGAAUCCAGUUGUCCUCAAGAGUUAAGAAUUGAUUUUCUGAAAGGAGCUCCUUGUCAGUAUUGGUUUCUUUCAUGCACUAUUGUUGUUUAAACUAUGCUCAUAAUAGCCGAAUAAGAGUCGACUAAAUGAAUCGGGGAGUUGCUGAGACUUCACAUGAAGAUCAAACAUGUCAAUAGGUAUCCAUGUAUUUUCUGGUUUUAUUCAUGGAUGUUGUUCUCAUAGUUUCUGAAUUUUUGUUUUGACCGGCUCAAACACCUUGUUUAAUAUUGAUGAAGAUCCAUUUUUGCAACUGUUCAAUUCAGUUCUUAAUAUUUUUGUAAAUAAUCAGACAAUGCGCUUCAAAUAACUAAGGUGUUAUCCUA
rnacentral:lncRNA from 1 species